rnacentral:rRNA from 1 species
AUGUACAUUCCUACAACAUAGCGUUAAUGUAGUGGAUCCCAUUAGAACUCCACAGUUAAGCAUGCUCGGUCUAGAGUAGUACUAGGAUGGGUGACCACCCACGAAGUCCUAGUAUUAUACAUC